AUCAUAAGAAUAAUGAUUUGAGUGUUCACUCCCAUGCCUGAGAUGUGCUUCUCUCCAACCUUGGUAUGACAUCAGCACAUUACCCAUAUGAUA
ensembl:snoRNA